AGCAGCCGCGGUAAUUCCAGCUCCAAUAGCGUAUAUUAAAGUUGUUGCAGUUAAAAAGCUCGUAGUUGAAUUUCGGGAUCAGUAUGUUGGUCGUGCUUCGGUACGUACUGUCAUUACUGGUUUCUCCCUUCUGAAGAACCUUGAUGUCAUUAAUUUGGUGUCUUGGGGAAUCAGGACUGUUACUUUGAAAAAUUAGAGUGUUUAAAGCAGGCAUACGCUUGAAUACAUUAGCAUGGAAUAAUGAAAUAGGACGUUUGAUUCUAUUUUGUUGGUUUCUAGGAUCGACGUAAUGAUUAAUAGGGAUAGUUGGGGGCAUUAGUAUUCAAUUGUCAGAGGUGAAAUUCUUGGAUUUAUUGAAGACUAACUACUGCGAAAGCAUUUGCCAAGGAUGUUUUCAUUAAUCAAGAACGAAAGUUAGGGGAUCGAAGACGAUCAGAUACCGUCGUAAUC
rnacentral:rRNA from 1 species